rnacentral:lncRNA from 1 species
UUUAGAAAUAGUUAUUACAUAUUUACGAAAUUUCAUAGGUGAUCUCCUUAAAUAUCAUGAAAGAAUAAGCUACAACUUAAAAUAGUUACUACAUAUUAACUGAAUAAUAAAUGAAAAUCUAACUCCUAAUUAAUAACGGAUAUAAGAUUGGAGAUAAAUAUCAACUAAAGAAAACUUGGAAACAAAGACAUCGAAAACACGAUGUAACAUUUUGGUGAAGAAAUCUGCAAGUUGACCGUGGCUGGGAACUAGCAAUACUUUCCAGCUACAAUUAUGCAAUUUUUCUUGUACUACAUGACGAUCUAUAUGAGGUGAUUCAUCAAGCUACAAACUAAAAUUCAUUGAUGCUCCACCCACAAACAUUAAAUUGACUAAGUAAAAAUAUAUAUAAUGAUUAAAACUAUAUAACACUAGUCUCUUUCAAAAAUAGAAAAACUUCCAAAUUGUGAUACAACUGUAUUUAUUGCAUUGAUAAGAGGAUAAUUGGUUUCUUCAAUAAGAUGUGUCAAUGCUGUACUAUAAUUAAUUAUAGUUAUUGACUAUGGUACAGCAUUGACAUAUAUUAUUCAAGAAGCCUAUGAUCCUCUUGUCAAUGCAAUAACUACUGUUGUAUCACAAUUUGCUAAUACUCCUAUUUCAGAAUGAAGGCUCUAUUUGGUCUCAACCAAUAUACAUAUUUUUUCUCUAGUCAAUUUAAAUUAUUUAAACUUUGCACUUUGCAGGCAUAUCAAUGGAAUUGUUUGAGCAAUUUUAGAACUUUCUUAUUCGCAAUUGAAACUAAACUGAAUCUUUCCACAAGUAUCACGGUAUCCUUAUACUUCAUUUGCACCUACAACAUAUAGUUGAAAUAUUUAGUUCAUAGAUUUCUAAACGGUAAAGAUUAGCAUAACAUUAAAUGAAUAGAUCUUAGAAUAUAAAAUAUAUGCUCACUUUAUAGAGAAUGAACAUUAUAGGUUAAUGAGAUACAAUUUCGAAAAUAAACAAAUCCUCCAAUAUGCUAACCAGUAAUAAUCUGGCAAAGAAUGAUAAAUAUUUAAAAGCAUCACAAAAAGAAAAAAAAAGAAUCCAAGAUAGCAGUAGAUUAAGCAUUAAUAAUCAUGCUUACAAAAUUGGCAUAUAUAAACCAUAAAAUUCUUACUCAUGACUCAUGAAGAUAGAUUUUAAAUUCCAAUCAGAGUAGAAUUUAAAAUCUGUUCGGUUCGCGUGAUCUCUAACUUAUGAAUAUAUUUUCUAAACACAAUUACAUUUUAUAGAAAGUGGCAUUGUAAGUAAAAUUGAUUUAUAAACAACUAAAAGAAAUCAAAAUUCUUCAAAUAGAAUGUCGCCUCAACCUUUGGCCGCAUCAAGAUGAAUGCAUGUUUGGUUCAUAUACUGACUUAGAAUGUGCAGGAUCAACUUCCUAGCUUCCUUCAGUUCUUGAUACAGAGCUGUCUCAAUGGUUUAGAUUAUUAUGUCAUCCAGCUGCAGUUUUCAAAGUGUAAUAUAUUAAUUGAUUCCAAGAAGCAUCCCCGAAGGAAUAGCUUAGUGGUUUGACUAGAAACGUUGAAGGAGUUAUAAGCAAGAGGUAUGUGAUUCAAUCUCUGACACUAACAUUUCUCCCUCCCCUAACAUAUCUAUAAACUACUAACAUUAACCUAUAAAAAGAUUUGAUUACAAAAAGCAUUAUAGAAAAGCUUUUAAUAAAAUUUAUUUGAAAGAAGCUCCCCCAUAAGUCAGAAGAACCAUAAUCAUAAUCACACUAUAAUCAUAAUCAUGACUUUAAUGGCCUAUAUCAUCAUAUCAACUUAUAAGUCGCAUUAUCAUUUUUGGAACCAUGAAUUUUAAAUUCAUAAAGAAUUAAGAAUGAUUUAAAAUAAUAUUUAUCUUCAAAAUAUUCAUUAAACCAUAAAAGAUUCGUUCUCGAAAAAUAAAAUUUUAGAUUUUCAAUUAAAAUUCUACUCACAACUUUGAAGAACCAACUCAACCUCUUGUUAUACCUUCAUGAGGAGCCAACAAAGUAAUUUCCACUUCAUUUGACCAUAGAGAAAUUAAUUUUACAAUUCAUAAAAUUUAUUUCAUUCUUAGGGUAACACCAGAUACAAAAUCCCCCAAAUUAUAAGAACUAGGGUUGAAAAAACACAUUAAAAUGUAAUAUUCAACUUAUUACCGACACCCACUACUCAACUAAGCUAUAAAUAACUUUAGAAGACUAAUAAUUAGUAGUUUUUACCUCAUGAAACUUCCAAUUNNNNNNNNNNNNNNNNNNNNNNNNNNNNNNCUUCCGAACUUGAGAGUCUAAACGAGUGCUACUAAUUCUUAUGGAUAGAAGGGAUUUGAGAUGGAAUAGCAAGAAAAUGGAACUAAUUGAGGGUAUGGAAUACGGUCACAAGUGAGAGAAAUGGGAGAUGGAGAUGUAGAAUUUGGGGGAAAGAGAGUGAUGAGAGGGGUGCGGGUUAAGAAGCUACAUACUUCAAAACGGGAGAAUAUAACCUCCGAUAUUGAUUUAUAUCCGGU